GAAUAUUGCGCAAUGGGCGAAAGCCUGACGCAGCAACGCCGCGUGGGGGAUGAAGGCUUCGGUUGUAAACUCCUUUUGCGGGGGAAGAGGAAGGACGCUACCCCGAGAAUAAGUCACGGCUAACUACGUGCCAGCAGCCGCGGUAAUACGUAGGUGACAAGCGUUAUCCGGAUUUACUGGGCGUAAAGCGCUUGCAGGCGGUUGGUCAAGUCCGACGUGAAAUCUCUCGGCUUAACCGGGAGGAGUCGUUGGAGACUGAUCGACUUGAGGCAAUGAGAGGGAUGCGGAAUUCUCGGUGUAGUGGUGGAAUGCGUAGAUAUCGAGAAGAACACCAGUGGCGAAAGCGGCAUCCUGGCAUUGUCCUGACGCUCAUGAGCGAAAGCGGGGGGAGCGAACGGG
rnacentral:rRNA from 1 species